CGUAAGCCCUGGCUAGGAAACUGUCAAUAGUGUUUCCAUCCAAAGAUCCUUAGUCACUUGUGCAAGGCCUUUGCCAUCUAAGUAACAGACAGAACCUUUGAGAGCACUGCCAAGAAGGUUACAGUCUGAGACACAGAAACAUGGAAGUCAAACAAAGAAGUGCAACCAAGGAGAGACUUAACAGCUGAGAGCUUGGAAAGAUGUUUAAAGGGCAGGUACUGGAUUCUGGGCAGACUGCUGAGAAAACAAGUGAGCCAAGGGUGCGUGUGUUGGAGGAGGAGUGCCAGUUAAGAGGUGAUUACAAGAAGUCUCAAGAACCUGUGCUGAUGAAUUUGGGAACAAAGCAGGGUACUCAGGUGAUGCUGUAAUCAGUUGACCCAAGUUAAAGAUCAUAGCAGCAGCUGGUGGAAGUAGAAGCAGACACCCACAGCUAAACCUUGGACUGAACUGAAAUCCAGAUGCAGAGAAUGAGGACUGAUGAGCAAAGGGGUCCAUACCAGGCUGGUGAAACCCACAGAAACAGCUGAUCUGAACAAGGGAAAACUCUUGCUCCCCAAACUGAUAGCUGGGAAACCAGCAUGGGACUGAUCCAGACCCCCUGAAUGUGGAUGUCAGUGAGGAGACCUUGGGAAUCUAUGGGGCUUCUUGUAGUGAAUCAGUACUUAUUGCUACCAUAGGAAUGGACUUUAGGAGCCCAUCCCACAUGGAGGGAUACUCCCUGAGCCUAGAUACAAGAGGGUUGGCCUAGGCCCUAUCCCAAAGAAUAUGACAGACUUGGAAGACCCCCCAUGGAAGUCCUCACCCUCCCUGGGGAGCAGAAAG
rnacentral:lncRNA from 1 species